rnacentral:rRNA from 1 species
UCUCCGCACCAGUGAGAAUGCCCUUAAUAUCAAUACUGAUCAAAAGGAGCAGACAUUAAGCACACUAACCAGUAGCUCAAGAUGUCUUGCUUAACCACGCCCCCAAGGGAUACAGCAGUGAUAAAAAUUUAGCAAUAAACGUAAGUUUGACUAAGUUAUGCUACUACAGGGUUGGUAAAUUUCGUGCCAGCCACCGCGGUCAUACGAUUAACCCAAAUUAAUAAACACUCGGCGUAAAGCGUGAUUUAAGUUCAAAUAACAACUAAGCCGUAAAAAGUAAUAGUUGCAAACAAAAAUAAACAACGAAAGUGAUUUUACAGUACUCGAAUUCACGAUAGCUAAGACCCAAACUGGGAUUAGAUACCCCACUAUGCUUAGCCCUAAACCUCAAUAAUUUCAUAACAAAAUUAUUCGCCAGAGAACUACAAGCCACAGCUUAAAACUCAAAGGACUUGGCGGUGCUUUAUACCCCCUAGAGGAGCCUGUUCUAUAAUCGAUGAACCCCGAUAAACCUUACCACUCUUUGCUAAAUCAGCCUAUAUACCGCCAUCUUCAGCAAACCCUAAAAAGGAACAAAAGUGAGCUCAAUUAUCCUCAUAAAGACGUUAGGUCAAGGUGUAGCCCAUAGAGUGGAAAGCAAUGGGCUACAUUUUCUACCUCAGAACACACGAAAGCCCUAAUGAAACUUAAGGCUAAAGGAGGAUUU